rnacentral:lncRNA from 1 species
CCCUCACGAUAGAACCAGCUUCUUCUUCUUCUUUCUUCGUGUGCGAACCAGAAGCCGAAGAAGAUUAGAAGCAGCGAGCAUCACCGCCAGACGAAGACAGUAGCCGCUCGUCCCGCCCGCGCGCUCGCCGCCGUUCCGCCGUCCGCGCACGCCCAGGCCGCGCGAACCAGUCGCUGUUCGCUCCUGUUCCAGCUCCGACCAGCCACCGUCCGGCCACCUCCGGCCACCGUCCAGCUCCGCCGGACCUCCCCGGCGUUUCCCUCGUCCUCCGCCGAGCUUCCCUCGCCGUUUUGGCCGUCGGAUCUGCUCCGACCAGCCAAGGGCAGAAACCCACGAAAUGGGUUUCCAGCUGGUUCGGGCCCGUUUUGGGCCGUUUCCGGGCCUCGGAUCCGUGAGUCGCUUUGGGAAGAAUCGUUCUUCGCGUCACCGCCGUCGGAUUGAUCCGAUUUGUGCGCGAUUUGGUGAGUAAUCUCACUAAUCCUGGAUUAGUUGACUAAUUAUGCUUAAGGUUGGUUUAGAUUUAAUUAAUUAUGUUUAGGUUGUUAGAUUAGAAUAAAUUAGCAAUUAUUAGUCAAUUGUGAUGUGAUUUAGAUAAAUUGAUUGUGUAAUUAGCAAGUAGACAUGGUCUACUAUUUAUUGGAAGUGUCUCGGGAUUUUUCCCGACCCUUAGUGGGCUCCAA